GGCUCUGCAACUUUGUCAAUGGCGUAAGUUUGUAUUUUAACUAGUUUUUUAUGCUUUGGGUUGUUUAAAGAUGUUAUACUUGUUAAAAUCUUGCUUCCUACUAAAGUUUGGUGCUAAGUUGAACCAAAAUAAAUUACGAUAAGUGAAUUAUUGAGUUUCUGAACUUGAAAUUAUAAUUUAUAGCCAAGCCUGAAUUAGUUUUGGAUUGAUUACAUUGUCUGUAUUUGUGAAACCAUGAUCAAGACUUGAAGUUGGAAAUUGUCAAUUAGAUUAAGCUCGUGUGAGCUCCAAUUUUUCAGUUUUUAGAUUAAGCUAUUAAUGGGUAAAGUGAUUGGAUCAACAGUUGCAAAUUUGAUACUAAGCUAGAGCUUAUACAAGCUUGGAAUGUCUAUAACCUUAGAUUGAUUACAUUUAUAUGUGUUUGUGAAACCAUGGUCAAGACUUGAAAUUGGAAAAGUGUCGAUUAGUUUAUGCUCAUGUGAGAUCCAAUUUUUUUGGUUGUUAGAUUAAGCUAUUAGUGGGUAAAGAGAUUGGUCAACAGUUUCAAAUCUGAUACUGAGCUAGAGUUCAUACAAGCUUGGGAUGUUUGUGGCAUUACCCUUGCCUUUCAUGUUCUUUCACUAUUUAAGUUGUGCAUUUAAUUGUAAUCUAACAUGAAAUUGAGCAUUUGGUAUUUUUUGAGUGCAGGGAUUGAGUUUCUUUGCAUAAUUUUUUUGGGUUUACUAUUUAGUUUGUAAGUUUUGCCAUUAUUAACUCUUUGGUCCCUGUAAAUUGGAAGAUAGAUCAUUUAGUCCCUAUAAUUUGCCUCUGUCAACAACUAAGUCAUUCUGUCCAAUUUAAAUGGAAUUUUCUGCAAGUCAAAGCUCCUUUCUAUGGUAUAACAAGGGAAAAUUUUAUACUGCCAAAAUUAC
rnacentral:misc_RNA from 1 species